rnacentral:rRNA from 1 species
UACGUAGGGGGCAAGCGUUGUCCGGAAUCAUUGGGCGUAAAGAGCGUGUAGGCGGCCCGGUAAGUCCGCUGUGAAAGUCCAGGGCUCAACCCUGGAAUGCCGGUGGAUACUGCUGAACUAGAGUGCGGAAGAGGCGAGUGGAAUUCCCGGUGUAGCGGUGAAAUGCGCAGAUAUCGGGAGGAACACCAAUUGCGAAGGCAGCUCGCUGGGACGUUACUGACGCUGAGACGCGAAAGCGUGGGGAGCAAACAGG